GCCUGGGUGGCUCAGUCGGUUAAGCGUCUGACUUCGGCUCAGGUCACGAUCUCACAGUUUGUGAGUUCAAGCCCCACGUCGGGCU
rnacentral:tRNA from 1 species